rnacentral:snoRNA from 1 species
AGACCAUGAUGAGGACAUUUCCUCAAUAGCUCCUUGAAUCAUUCCCAAGUUUCAUAUUAAGGAUUCCCCAUCCUAUUGUGAAUAUGUAUUGAUUUCAGUCAUUAAUUU